rnacentral:misc_RNA from 1 species
GAUGAAGAACGUAGUGAAAUGCGAUAAGUAGUGUGAAUUGCAGAAUUCAGUGAAUCAUCGAAUCUUUGAACGCUCAUUGCGCCCCUUGGUAUUCCAUGGGGCAUGCCUGUUCGAGCGUCAUUUGUACCUUCAAGCUUUGCUUGGUGUUGGGUGCUUGUCUUUUUGUUAAGACUCACCUCAAAGUCAUUGGCAGCCAGUGUUUUGGUAGUAAGCGCAGCACAUUUUGCGUCUUGGUCCCUUAACAGCAGCAUCCAUCAAGCCAUUUUCUCACUUUUGACCUCGGAUCAGGUAGGGAUACCCGCUGAACUUAAGCAUAUCAAAAGCGGAGGA